CGGGAAACCGGAGCUAAUACCGGAUAAUAUAUUGAACCGCAUGGUUCAAUGGUGAAAGACGGUUUUGCUGUCACUUAUAGAUGGAUCCGCGCCGCAUUAGCUAGUUGGUAAGGUAACGGCUUACCAAGGCAACGAUGCGUAGCCGACCUGAGAGGGUGAUCGGCCACACUGGAACUGAGACACGGUCCAGACUCCUACGGGAGGCAGCAGCA
rnacentral:rRNA from 1 species